AUUGUAUUACCUCUGUCCCAAAUUACGUGUCUUAGAUUUGUCUAGAUACAUAUGUAUCUGACACUAAAAUGUGUCUAGAUACAUCCAUAUUUAGACAAAUCUGAGAAAAAAUAAUUCGAGACAGAGGGAGUAUAUU
rfam:Triticum aestivum genome assembly, contig: Triticum_aestivum_CS42_TGACv1_scaffold_526977_6DL